UACGUAGGGUGCAAGCGUUGUCCGGAAUCAUUGGGCGUAAAGAGCUCGUAGGCGGUCUGUCGCGUCUGCUGUGAAAACCUGGGGCUUAACCCCGGGCCUGCAGUGGGUACGGGCAGACUAGAGUGCGGUAGGGGAGACUGGAAUUCCUGGUGUAGCGGUGAAAUGCGCAGAUAUCAGGAGGAACACCGGUGGCGAAGGCGGGUCUCUGGGCCGUAACUGACGCUGAGGAGCGAAAGCAUGGGUAGCGAAC
rnacentral:rRNA from 1 species